rnacentral:rRNA from 1 species
GACGAACCGUGCGAACGUUGUUCGGAAUCACUGGGCUUAAAGGGCGCGUAGGCGGCCGAGCGGGUCGUGGGUGAAAUCCCCCAGCUUAACUGGGGAAGUGCUUACGAUACCACUGCGGCUGGAGGAAGGCAGGGGCACUUGGAACUGUCGGUGGAGCGGUGAAAUGCGUUGAUAUCGACAGGAACGCCGGUGGCGAAAGCGGAGUGCUGGUCCUUUUUCUGACGCUGAGGCGCGAAAGCCAGGGGAGCAAACGGG